rnacentral:tRNA from 1 species
UCCUUGGUGGCUCAGAGGUUAAAGUGUCUGCCUCCAAUGCAGGAGACCUGGGUUCGAUCCCCGGUUCUGGAA